GCGGCGGCUCCGCGAGCGAGUUCGCCCACCGCCAUCAUGAACUGAACCAGUCCUUGGGCGUCGCAGAUGGUGUGGUUCAGGCGCAGACCCAAUAUGAAGCCGCCGCACCUCAGACGGGUCACCUGCAAAUUAACAAAUUGUACGUACAGUUGUAGGCUAUGCCUGCCUAUACCUGAAUGAGCAGCAGAGGAGCGUUAAGGACAGGUUCAGAGCCCGGCACAUCGUAGAUCAGCUGCUCCAAGCCGGGGAACGGCGGCUGAAGCGCGUCGCCGAACUGCUCCAGGUCGACGUCCGCGUCGGCCUCCGUGAACAUCACGCCUUCGCCGGUGCAAUCCACCAUCAGCUUCCGGCCCUCGCCUUCCCUCAGCCGGCCCGCCAGAGGAUGGUACGCCACCAGCGCCUUCGCAACCGCCUCCCGGAUCACCUCCGCAGGAUCUCUCCCUCCCAUCGACGCCUCUCUCCGGUAGAACUGUAUCACCGGGAUCUGAAACCGAAGCCCCUCCUGGUCGUCUAUGUCCGAUAGCAGCUUGUACCCGCACGGCGUCGCCCCCGCCGGAGCCACCAGCUCCGACUUCUUCCUCGUCACCGUCAACAUCAAACCACCAUUCGACGCUGCUGCAGCCAUAUCUAUAUAAAUAUAUAUAUACCUGCGUGUAUGUAUGUAUAUAUUGCAGUAACGCAGUUGCAAUGAGAGUGAGUGAGAGAGAGAGAGAGGGGAAUACGUUGGAGCAGAAAGGGCUAAAGGGUUCCCAAUAUAUAGGCGUGGGGGCGCCCGGGCGAGGGAGGGGAGAGGGGACAGCCACUGGUAAACUUCUGAGCAAUGAAAGUGAAGCUACAACUAAAUUUUCUGCAUGCAAGCCAAAGGAGUCAUCGUUUCCAUUGGUUGCAUUUAUAAUUUAUUCUUCAUUUAAUUAAUGACAUAUAUACCCGACACCUUCAGCUUGUCC